CUGCUGCCUUCCGUAGGAGUUUGGGCCGUGUCUCAGUCCCAAUGUGGCCGUCCACCCUCUCAGGCCGGCUACUGAUCGCUGCCUUGGUGGGCCGUUACCCCGCCAACUAGCUAAUCAGACGCGGGUCCAUCUCAUACCACCGGAGUUUUUCACACAGAACCAUGCGGUUCCGUGCGCUUAUGCGGUAUUAGCAGUCAUUUCUGGCUGUUAUCCCCCUGUAUGAGGCAGGUUACCCACGCGUUACUCACCCGUCCG
rnacentral:rRNA from 1 species